rnacentral:tRNA from 2 species
GCCGAAGUGGUGAAAUUGGUAGACACGCAACGUUCAGGGCGUUGUACUCGAAAGGGUGUGGGGGUUCGAGUCCCCCCUUCGGCACCC